rnacentral:SRP_RNA from 1 species
GCCGGGCGUGGUGGCGGGCGCCUGUAAUCCCAGCUGUUUGGAGGCAGAGGCAGGAGAAUUGCUUGUAUCUGGGAGACAGAGGUUGCAGUGAGCUGAGAUGGUGCCACUGCACUCCAGCCUGGGUGACAAAGCGAGACUCUGUCUUGA